rnacentral:rRNA from 1 species
UACGGAGGGUGCGAGCGUUGUCCGGAAUCAUUGGGCGUAAAGGGCGCGUAGGUGGCCCGGUCAGUCUUUGGUGAAAGCGCGGGGCUCAACCCUGCGUCGGCCAGGGAUACUGCCGCGGCUCGAGCACUGUAGAGGCAGGCGGAAUUCCGGGUGUAGCGGUGGAAUGCGUAGAGAUCCGGAAGAACACCGGUGGCGAAGGCGGUUCUCUGGGCCUGACCUGACGCUGAGGAGCGAAAGCGUGGGGAGCGAACAGG